rnacentral:sRNA from 1 species
UUUUGCUGCUUUGUGUU